rnacentral:rRNA from 1 species
CGGGGUGAGUAACGCGUGGGUAACCUGCCUUAUACAGGGGGAUAACAGUCAGAAAUGGCUGCUAAUACCGCAUAAGCGCACAGAGCUGCAUGGCUCAGUGUGAAAAACUCCGGUGGUAUAAGAUGGACCCGCGUUGGAUUAGCUUGUUGGUGGGGUAACGGCCCACCAAGGCGACGAUCCAUAGCCGGCCUGAGAGGGUGACCGGCCACAUUGGGACUGAGACACGGCCCAA